GUGUCUUUCCCCUGUUUGCUGGAAGUCUGCCAUAGCAUCUAGUGCUUGCGUUCAUGUCACAUUCGGAGAUUAGAGCAUCCUAACGCCAAGCAAGAAGAGUUAAAACAGGAAUCCAGUCAAGUCGUGAGCAACAAGAGGUGGUAACUGGAGAAAGUUGAUCAUAAUCCUAUGGAUGCUUUUGUUUUACUUUUCAGUAGAGAAUCAUUCUUCUGGAAAGCCAUGUGGGUUAUUUUUUUUUUCUUUAAUUCUUUGUAGACUAAAUAGUU